GAUGAACGCUAGCUACAGGCUUAACACAUGCAAGUCGAGGGGUAACGAGAGGGAAGCUUGCUUUCCUUGUCGACGACCGGCGCACGGGUGAGUAACGCGUAUCCAACCUGCCCCCAACUAGGGAAUAACCUUGCGAAAGUAAGACUAAUACCCUAUAAUUUCCUCAGAUGUCAUCUGACGAGGAAUAAAGAUUUAUCGGUUGUGGAUGGGGAUGCGUCUGAUUAGCUUGUUGGCGGGGUAACGGCCCACCAAGGCAACGAUCAGUAGGGGUCCUGGGAGGAAGGUCCCACACAUUGGAGCUGGGACACGGUCCAAACUCCUACGGGAGGCAGCAGUGAGGAAUAUUGGUCAAUGGGCGGAAGCCUGAACCAGCCAAGUAGCGUGCAGGAUGACGGCCCUGUGGGUUGUAAACUGCUUUUAUACAGGAAUAAAGUUAGCCACGUGUGGUUAUUCGUAGGUACUGUAUGAAUAAGGACCGGCUAAUUCCGUGCCAGCCGCCGCAGUAA
rnacentral:rRNA from 1 species